GCCAUUCCUACUGUAAGCACCGUAGCGUGUCUGGUGAAGUUUCAACAGAAAGAAAGGAGGAAGGAAGUGGAGCAUUGUUUCCUGUGAGCUGGAAAGAAACUGUCUGUGUGCGUAUUUAUUGGGCAAGAUUUCUACACGAGGUGUUAAAGGCACGGGCUGCUGAGUCCUCGCUGGGAAUAGAAAGAUAAAUUAAAGCAGGACUGCGAAGUAAAAAGUGAGCAGCCCUUGGCGCAGUGGAAGAGUUAGCCUCUGUAGACCGUGUGUGCGCUGGGAAGUUCUCCAUGGCUGCAGCUGGCCAACCACUUGCUAAAGAGGGUCAGCAUGUGUUGGGCGACUUCUCCUGGGGAAACGGGAACAGAUGUCUGUUUACCCCAGCCAGGACACCUAUGGCUGACCAACGUCAGCAGUUCCUCCCAAGUCUGGCAUGACAAAACAAUGUGUUUAUUAGGCACAUUUACAAGAACCUAAGUGAGGAGUUAUUUAGGUCCUCCCCCUCCCCCUCCUGUCCCCACAGCCCCAAAGAGCUGUAUCACUGAAAACCCUCACUUUCAUUUAGGCUUCUGUCUACUGAGAUCACAUGUGACUGGGGCAGAGUUACAGACAGUUGAGAGGGAGCACAGGAAAGAGAGUGACUAGGAUCUCAGGUGGAUGCCUAAUGACUUUCUCCUCAACCUCCUUCUUCUAUAAAGGGAUGUUCACCGGCCCCAAUCUUAGGGUCACUCCUGGGAGGCUACAACUGCUCUGAUUAGGAUGGUAAUGGUUGUUCUCAUUGCAGGAUAGCAUCCCACAAUAGUGUGCAGCACAGAGACUCAACCAACCAUCUUCAUAGUUCAGGGACCAAGAAUGAGAAACAGUUAUUCGGGAAAGGUGUGUGAAGACCUCUUGUGAUGGCAUGGUCCUGUUGUGACUUUAGUGAAAGGUUUUAAAAUUUUUUUUAUACCAGCAGACACACUUCUGGCUUGAGUGGAAAGGAGCAAGUACUGGCUGAGAUGAAGGAAAGGGGAUGUCUCUAGAGGAGCCACAUGUAGGAGAGGCCAGGGGUCAGUCAAUGUCACAAAGCACCUGCUCAGAAUCAAGACAGCAGGCCCUUUAUUUCUUGUCCAUGGUCCUAAAGGGAUGACCAGAAAACCCAUAGGAACUGUGACAGAGCCUUACAGUUUUAUGGCAUUUCCUCUGGAGUGUUUGGACUAGCUCGGGAGAUGCGUGGCCCCUUCUAGCUGCUCCCGUGUGCCGUGGGAUGGAUGUCUAGACCGUGCCUUCGUCAGGGCUGCGCUUUAGGAAAAGAUAACAGGAUCACAGAUGGGAAGGAAAUGAUCCCCAGGAAAACCACACACUAGUCACUCCCGUGUCUGACGCACAUGAUAUUUAGGUGAUAUUUUAGAUUCAGAGUUGAUGCUGGAAUGGCUCAAGACAUUGGGGGAUGGCGGGAUUGGGUGCAAUGCAUUUCGCUUAUGAUACAGGACUUGGAUUUUGGGGGCCAGAGGAUGGAAAGUUGGUCAUAUGCUGACUUACACGAUUUUCUGCCACCUGUUACUAAUUGAAGCCCUAAAACCUUGUAGUUCAGCACCUGAACUUGGGGAAACAGGGUUCCUGCGGAUGUAAUAGGUGAGGAUGAAAUCUUACAAAGUACAGUUUGCUCCCGAGUUGAUAAGCCUGUUCUCUUUCCAAGGAAGAGAAACUGGAUAUAGAUGUGAGCUAUGGGUGGCAUUGCUUUUCCUAGGGAGACUAUUUCUGUUCAUCCCAAAUGAGACAGCAAUGACAGACCAAGGACAACCCUAAAGCCAGCUAGGUGGACCUAUGAGUUUGUUGAGGUAACAAACUGAGCACAGGUGACCAGGCAGCUUUGUCACUGAAAAGCCAAGCCUCACCUUGUAUGACAACUCAGGAAAGCUCUGUCACUGGGGUCCUCUGAAUAACUUGCAGGCAGCUACACUGUGGAAGAGUCUCCUCUCCCCCUGAAACUGUCCACUGCUUCUAGAACCUCAGCGGCCACGAGAAAACAGAGCAAAGAGACUCAUCUAACAAAUGAAGAAACCAAGGUUCAGAGGACGGACGUAACUUAGGGGCCAAGAUUUGCAUCCAGGUCAAUUAAACCAAAAUAUGGUGUUUGUCUAGUCUUACCACCAUGCAAGAUGUGAACAGUGGACGCUAAAUAAACAAGUCAUUAGAGAAUGUUCCAGGCGUGAUCCAGGGCUGAUCUCUGCACUUUAGGGGUACCUGUUGCCACGGCUCCAAAAUCAUUAGGUAGGAAGUUUGAAGGACAAAGAGGAAUAUCCUCCCUCACUGUUUUUGAGGGAACUUGUGUAAGGAGAAUAGAUAGUUUCUAGGAAAUAGUAAACCAUCCAGGAUGUCAAAAACAGUAGGUACACAGAAGCCAAAUGCUACCGUAAAUGGAGCAUGCUAAAUACAUGUGCACAAUUAAAUACUGGGUGUCAUCUGGGAGGCAAGGCCCACAUCCAAGUUACCAGGCACAUCCAUUAGUCUACCUCUGUCCACUAUUGCCCUAUGGGAAAUCAAACUACCCAAGCAUCAUCUUCCAAUCUCUCUAGGGUUCAGAAGUCUGGAGUUUUGAGUGACAUCUACAGAUCCAUCUCCAUAUUGCCUGCCGCUACUCAGAAUGUAGUUUUUCAGACCCAUUCUGAUUUUCUUGACCUUCCUAUCUCCUUGUAGAGUCAGAGUGAUAACCAGGUACAUGCUGGCACAGACAGGCAGGGUAUGGUGGAAGGAGGGGAAUCCAGACUCACGUUCCAAAGGAGGCACAGCAUAUCUGAACUGGAGGGUCUGUUUGUCACCCACUCUAGCAUCUCCUUCUUACAUCAGUUGUGACAGAGUUCAGACUCAGAGAAGGGACUGAGUUCAUGUGUGCUGUGUUUCCUAUGAUGAUGGCUGUGGGCAUCGUAUUUUGGGAGCAUGGUUCCUGGAAAACAAAGAAAACCUAUGUAUGGUUGCUGGAAAAAUUAUAAAAUGAGUCCCAGAAGCUGUGAACUCUAGUCCUGGUUCUCCUCAUGCUGCUAUAAAUGCUACAGAGUCUUCACCAAGAUGCAAAGCAAACAGCUUUCUCAGAAAGGGAGCCCCAUUGUCAUUCCCAGCAGCCUUCCUUCCUACUUCGGCCUCUUUCUCUCCCUCUCAUCUCCUGAAGGUCAGGACUAGAGAGAGGACACUUUCAGUCUGGAAGUCGGGUACCAAGGACAAAUGGACUACUCUGCCUUCAUAAGGUCCUGCUUUUCUGGACUGUUCCAGACAUCAGUGUCCCCUCCUCUAGGAGUCUGGCACUUCAUCCUACGCACCUGCAGGCCUUGCCAUCUUUCUUUGCCUAGUGGAAGAUGGAUGCACUUGACUGAGUAGAAGCUUCAAAUGUACGGCUUGUGUCCAUUUCUGGUUUGUCCCCUCAUCUCUCAGAGUGUGCACAUCACAGGCUGGGCAUAGUCCUUCCAACCUUACUCUAAGGAUGUGGAGGCACCUAGAAUAGAGAGGCCAGUCUCAUGAGCACAUAUUUUAAGCACGUAACCUUGGUUUUUGGAGUCAUAGCCCUAAGCUGACUGACACACUCGACUUUGCCACUGCUGUGGUGCCAUCCUGGCAGUCACUAAUGCUUUUUGUGAAAUGGGUCCUGGCUAAAAAGUGGGAACCAUGGAAGAAUAAGUUUCUACCAUUGAGAGACCUCAGUGUAGUGGCUGUAGAAAGGUAGGUUAAGGGCAAUAUUGAGGACAGCAUGGUGUCAGGUAGAUAACUCAACCAGGGAAAUCAAGAGGAUUUCCUUAAAGCGUCCAGUGUAGGAAGUCAUUUGCUAAAUUCCCAAGGACAAAAGAACCUGGGGAAGGACACUUUUUCAGAGGGAAUAGAUCAGAUGGCAUCCAAAUCUAGGUCUGUUAGUGACAGAGGCUUGGAGCAGAUGGCCCCUACUCCCUCCAUCUAUGCACCAGCCUCACAAAGAAAGCACGGACUCAAUGUCUAGCCAAUAGCAGCCCCUGGUUUGUGCCUUGAGCUGUUAGGACCACCCCCAAUGACCACUCUGGGAUUCCUUUGCUUUGGAAACCUACAGAGCAGAAAUGGGCAGCCCAGGGGGUGGAGGGCGAACCCGUUUGCAGAGAUCCCACUUCCGUCUAACCCAGGCAUCAGAGUCAGCAGAGGCAGAGACUACGGUCCCGACUGCCACAUCUGCCUCCCAGUGUGCAGAGAAUGACGGCCUCAGAAUGAAUGAUUUACUUGUGUCCUCACGUUCAUCAGACCAAAUGGAGAGCUCCCUCAUCUGAACCGAAUGGAUCGCCAGAGUUAAUCCCAGAGUCUGUCUCGGGUAAGUGAAGCAUGGGAGAAAAGUAAUGUGCAGGAGGUGCUGCUGGGAAAUAGAUUGGCUCCAAGUAGAGAUGAGAAAAGGGUCAAAUAAGCAUCCCGAACAAGGCUCCAAGGGCUGAAUCCCACAGCUAAAUCCCAAUCAGUCAAGAUGCUCCAAUCCAGCCCUCUGCCCAGCCGUGUUUUGUUCUGUUUCUGUGCUUUCAAUUUGUUUGUUUAGUCAUAACUAAGGCAACUGAUUGUAGCCACAAUGACCCUAAUGAACUGCCUGAUUUCUGUCCCUGUCAUAACAGAUGACCUAGGACCAGGCUCAAUCUCUGUUUGGUUCCAGCAGGGUACCCAGAACCGGGUGCAUACCCAACACCACUCACGGCCUUGGGUAUGAGGCAGUGAUGAGGUAGCAUCUGUUUCAUGGGUGUCCAUUUUUCUAAAGUCUUCAGGUAGUCUCUUUUGAUGUUGCAUUCAUUGACAAGGUAACAGCCGAAGACCUGCCUUGCCCCCAACUCCUUCAAGUUCCCUUCAUAUGUGUUUCCUCGUUAGAGUUGGACUAUAACUGUGCAAAGUAAGGACACUGAAGCCCUGUGCCAAGGUACCUUAUAGUAAAGAGACAUUAGGACUUGUUGCCACCCUGGGCCCUUAAGUUUCAUCCAUUUUCAGCUAAGUAUCUCCUGACCUUGGCUAGGAGGCAAAGUCUCUGAGGACGCCCCAGCAUUCUUCUGACAGAGCCUUUUCUUUAAUCUUGCCACAUGACACGGCACAGUUCAAUUUGGAGAAAACCAUGCUAAGUGAAACAAGCCAGGUAUGAAAGGACACAUAUUGCAUAGGUGACUCUAGGACAGAAGCAGGAGGUAAAUGGCAGAUGCCAGGGGCUGGAGGACGGUGAGGAUAGGACAUGUCAUUGAACAGAUAGAAAGCUCAGCUCUAGAAUUCUAGUCAAUAGUGUCGUGCUCAUGGGUAAUUCUAUGCUACAGGGCUAGAACAUGAAGGUGUCUAAAAGGGUUGAUAAAACAUUAUCUCAUGUUUCAGUCACAGUUACACUAAAUGGGCUGGAGAAAUGACUCAGCAGUUAAAAGCACACUGGAUGCUCUCCUAAAGGACCCGGUUUCAGUUCACAGUACUCACAUGGGAGCUCACAACCAAUUGCAACUCCAGGUCCAGGGAAUCUGACUCCCACUUCUGGCUUCCUUGUGAUGCACAAGCAGACAUGCAGGCAACACACACACACACACACACACACACACACACACACACACACACACACGGAAACCAAAACCACAAAGCAAUAGCAGAAAUGAACGGUUUCUCGUUUUCUCUUUUGAGCUGGAACUGCAGUCUGAUGCUGUGGCUGGAAAAAGGUGGCGAAACCUCUGGGCUCCUCUUCUUUUAUUCCCAAGUUGGGUUUCUAUGCAUUGAACAAGCGCUUCCUGAAUAUGGCUCUGCCCCAGCUACUCUUGGAGGCACUGGAGAAGGAAUGGCAGAUCUGAUAGACGUGAUUUCUGUGACUCUGGGGACUAGAGUGCCCUGACAGCAUCAAAUAAGUAAAUACACAUCCAGGAACCCACUGUGGACCAAGACAAGAUUCUGAAAGAAAGAGAUGGGGUGAUUUAUAGGACCUCUGGGCUGGGGUUUUAGAUAUGAAUCCUCUAGGAGACAGAUGGUUGUAUUCAAACUGAGACCUGGGGAUGACACUAACCCAAAAGCAGCAAGAAUAGAGCGACGGGAACAUUCCAUACCCAGGGAACAUCAACCAUGAAGGAUAAGACAGUAGAGAGACUCAUUAAGGUCGGUAACGGGAGACGAGGCCAGCAUGAAAGGGGUGGAUUUUGCAAGGAUAGUGUUCCAGACUAGGAUUGGAGAAGCAGGCAGGGUCAGCAAACCUCAGACUUCGUGAGGCACACAAACACCUCAGCUGUGCUCUAUAAGCAUAAAGCACACACGGCUUAUCGGUUCUGUUUUUAAAAUGGUCAUUGUAGCUAAUGGAUUGAGAGCAGACUGAAGGGAAAAGAAGUCAAAGAAGAUUCAGGAAGCCGGUAGGAAUGUCGAAGAUGGCCAGGCUUGUGCAAGUGAAAUGACUGUGGAGGUGAAGGCAGUUUAUAUCUGAGGUCACUUUCGGAGGCAGAACCUCCCAGGCUUGACAGCGGUUUGCACACACAAGAUGGCGGGGGUUUUUUUCCUUGAAAUGACCACUAUCUCCCCACACCCGAGGAAGCUGCUUUCCCCCCAAGAAGGCAGAGAAACCAUGAGGGUAAGACUCUUCACUAUCUUCAUACAUCCCCAGUUACUGGCGUGACCCUGUCAUUGAGGACUGGCACGACUUCCAUGCACCAGAGUGGGAGAAUGUGCCAUGCUGGGGAUCCGUGGCCUUGCCUCCCAGGUUAAUCCCAUCACUACCAUGACUUGGGGCUUGUGUGUCAGAAGGGCCCUCAGUAAGAUCCUUGUCAAGCUGCAGGUGGGCACGUUACUGUCAACAUGAGCACCCCAAUGGUCAAAGCAGAAGCUAGAAAACACAUCCCAAGUCCACAGCCAGCUCUACUUCCGGUCUAGCCUCUUCGUUCUGCUCCAUUAAGACAUGAGGUGAGCAUAGUGGAGCAUGUGUCCUAGUGAUAUGGUGGAGUACCUUUUGGGUACAUGCCCAGGAGGAGCAGUACAGCUGGGUCUUCAGGUAGAACUAUUUCCAAUUUUCAGAGGAUCUGCCAGAUUGGUUUCAGAGUGAUCGUACAAGUUUGCAAUCCCAGCAAGGGAGGGGUGUUCGCCUUUCUCCACUUUCUUGCCAGCAUGUGCAGUCAAUUGAGUUUUUGAUCUUAGCCAUUCUGAUUCAUGUAAGGUAGAAUCUCAGAGUUGUUUUGAUUUGCAUUUCACUGAUGACCUAGGGUAUUGAAUAUCUCUUUAAGUGUUUCUCCACAAUUCAAGAUUCCUCUGUUAAGAAUUCUCUGUUUAGCUGUGUCCAUUUUUGUCAGGGUUUUGGGAGAGUUGGCGACGGGGUUGGGGAAUCUAACUGAUGUUAUUUUGUUUUUGCAGACAGGGGCCUAGCAUGGCUGUCCUGAGGCUCUACCAGCAGCUGAUUGAGACAGAUGCAGAUACAGUCAAGCAUUAGAAGGAGGCCAGGAACCCCCUAUGGAAGAGUUAGGGGGAAGGAUGGAAGGAACUGAAGGGGAUGGCAACCCCAUAGAAAGAUCAGCACUGUCAACUAAUCUGGACCCCUGGGAGCUCCUAGCAACUGAGCCAUGCUGGUCAGAGGCCCCCAGGCACAUAGGAUACAUAGCAGAGGGCUCAGUGUCUGGCCUUAAUGGGAGAUGUGCCUAAUCCUAUAGAGACUUGAGACCCCAGGAUAGAGGGGAGAUGUCCAGGGGAAACCCUCUCAGAA